UUAAAGCCCCGUGCGAUGUCAUGUGUGUAUAAAGUCAUCCAUGGCCCUACGAGUGCACAGCUAGCUUGUAAUGGGCAUGUUAAUAAGGCUAUUAAGGUUUACAGAUAUUCUGCUCUUCCUUACAGUUUAUAAUUUAAUUAAUUGCCGGUUAAUUGUCUUAUUUUCCCCCUGUGAUUGAUGUCACCGAGUGGGAUUAGGCAGCAUCAGAUGAUAGGGAAAGCGGGAGUGAAUGCAGUGUCCUGCGACGGUACGAGAGGAGAUGUUUUUAUGGACAAAUCCUUUCCGACAUGGAUGAGUACCGCAAUGAGAUAUCACCGGGUAUCAGCUCGAUACAUAUUGUAAUGGGAUCAUUAGCGGAGGUACCAGCUGUGUGAGGUUUGUGUUCACAAGCCAUGGGUAAGUAACAGGGAAAUAUUGGCUCCUUGGAAAUGUUUGCCAAAUGUAAAUCCUUCCCUUUUUACAGAGCCAGCGCUCGGUUUGUAUAACGUUGAAUAAUACUCCACGAGGCCCCGGGGGACUGCUCUGGCUACCCCUGCAGUCGGUAGCGGCAGGAGAGCCUUUGGUUCUGUGCUGCAGGAAGGGAACCUGGGCGCUGCCUCAGAGCUACCCGGGCAAGCCGGCAGCAUCGCUCCUCCUGGUGCCAGCAGCCCAGCGGGUCACUGAGCUCCGGGUUGGCUUUUAACCUGCCCUCUGUGGGGUAUACAUCUGGAGGUGCUGCAGAAGUACUCCAGAGGUUCUGCUUUCCCUGAGCCCUUCUGAGUGACCAAAGGCAGCCCGCUCUGGCAUGCCUUCAGCUCCCAAAGCCCGCAGUGGUGCCAAGCGAGGGGAUCUGGGGUAAAUGAAAACCCAGACCUAAGUGACUUUUGACCAGACUUUGAUGUCAUUUCAGCAGAAUAAACCUGGAGCAAUUACAGCGGCUUUGGCGUGAGCGAGAUCAGAUUGUGAAACCAGGCUGAAGAGAAAAUAACCCGUGUGUGCCUGCCCGGGUGGGCGUGCAGUGAGUUAGAGCCCCUGCAUAAAUCAGCGCACGCUAAGUAGGUUAUUUCUGAGGCUGUAAUCAGAACAAGGAGCCAGCCAAACCACAUCUGUCUCUUUUAAUUCAUUCCUUCCAUUUUGGGGACUUCGCCUUCAGGAACAGCUAUCAGUGAUUACAUAAAAGAGAUUAGCUAACAUUUCUGCAUAAAUCAAGGCCGGCGCAAGAUGUUUCCUACAGGCGUUGCGAAACCCGCGCCGGGCGGAGGACACGCUCCCCACCGAACACGGCGACGCUGCCCUGGCCCGACAGCAGCUCAGGGGCCACGGACAAAACCUUCGUGCUUCUCCAACCGGCCUUGCAGAAAGCAGAUCCAACGUGUGCGUGGAGGGGAACGGCGGGCCCUGGGUCUGCGUGGUGGUGUGUUUUUUUUUUUUUUCCCCUGUGAGCAGAUCUUCCAGCCAAGAUACAUGACAGAAACAAUGAAAGGAAGAGAGGGGCAGGAGAGCCUUAUUGUAAACCAGAUUUCCAUGUGUGAAUGCAAAUCAAUCUUGCUGUUAAAGAAAGAGCCGAGCCAGAACGUGUUACAUCUCCUCUUUUAGCACAGUCGCUAACAGAAUGUCUUGAUGUGAACGCUGUUGUGUGACUCAACAAAUCUUCGUGUUUGUUUCUUUUUUUCCAUUUCAAGGCGGUUUCAUCAUUUUCCUCCACUUUUUGCUCUGUUAACAUGAGUGGUCAGAGCAGAUCUAUGCUGAGAUAUAGGGGAAGGCUCAGCACUUCUCUCCCAUUUGAUCUGCCCUAAGUGGUUCCAAUCCCCUGACUGCAGAGCAUCUGUCCCUGCGCUGUCCUUCCACCCAUCAUCUGCAUCUGAGCUUCCCUGCUGAGCCUUCGAGCCAAAAAUACCAAAAGAAAUCUCAAGUUUUUCAUUCUUUCAAUUUUGAGGAACUGAAUUCGAGACCUCACUGCUGAGUUUCAACACUGCCAAAUACCAGUAGCUCCCAUUAGCUGCUGAGUACUCAUCACUUCUCAAAGUCAGGCCCCGGGUAUCUCUUACUGGUAUUUAUUACUUGGAGUUGUGCUUGAAACCUUAGCAAGACCCGGGAAGAACUGAAAAGAGGAAGUUUCACGCUCCUUUCUUUCCAGGUGGGGAACUGAACUGCAGGGCAAUUUAAGGUCUGAUGUU